AUUGAACGCUGGCGGCAUGCUUUACACAUGCAAGUCGAACGGUAACAGGGUGCUUGCACCGCUGACGAGUGGCGAACGGGUGAGUAAUGCGUCGGAACGUGCCGAGUAGUGGGGGAUAACGCAGCGAAAGUUGUGCUAAUACCGCAUACGUACUGAGGUAGAAAGUGGGGGACCUUCGGGCCUCACGCUAUUCGAGCGGCCGACGUCUGAUUAGCUAGUAGGUGAGGUAAAGGCUCACCUAGGCGACGAUCAGUAGCGGGUCUGAGAGGAUGAUCCGCCACACUGGGACUGAGACACGGCCCAGACUCCUACGGGAGGCAGCAGUGGGGAAUUUUGGACAAUGGGCGAAAGCCUGAUCCAGCCAUGCCGCGUGUCUGAAGAAGGCCUUCGGGUUGUAAAGGACUUUUGUCGGGGAGGAAAUCCCCAGCGUUAAUACCGCUGGGGGAUGACAGUACCUGAAGAAUAAGCACCGGCUAACUACGUGCCAGCAGCCGCCGUAAAAC
rnacentral:rRNA from 1 species